rfam:Brassica napus, WGS project CCCW01000000 data, contig: 381
GGAAUAUAAGAGUUCGUCUCUUAAUCUUUAACUAAAAAAACUAAGAAUUGGUUCUUAAAUAAGAUAUUUAAGAACCGGUUCUUAGCUUUUUUUAUUUAAAAGCUAAGAGACGAGUUCUUAUAUUAC